rnacentral:lncRNA from 1 species
CGGAGUUUGUCGGCAGCAACAGGCACGGGCACCAACUGUUCUGAUCUCUUGAAGAGCUCCUCAGGCAACCUUCUGUUUCUAGCAAGAUGAUACACCCAAGCCUUGAUGACAAGGCUUGGCUCUCAACCUCCUUGCUCCCCACCUCCUGUGAAAUACACAAAGAAAUUCAGUGAUCAUCGGGGAUGCUCUGGUCCAAACACUACCUGCCAGCCAGACGCAGGAGAUGGAUGGCUCAGCAGUAAUCGUGCUGCUUGAGCUUGGUGUCUAAUGGGGACAGUAGUGACAGGAAGUUCACAGGGACUGGAAGACAUGAGUUCUCUGAGGGAAAGGAAGGUGAAGCCUGGUGCUUAGGACCCUCAGGAGACCAUAGGAUGUGAGAAGGCUCAAGACACCCAGAGGUGGGGUCAGAAACAGGGCAAAGGAGACCAAGCAUGGGAGAGCUGCAGUGGACGUGUACAGACAGGAGAAGCAGGCCCUAAAGAAUCCCUGAGGCGGCAGAGAGGCUGGGCUGUGGAACUUUUUAAUUACUUUGCAUUAGGGGACUGUAGAGACCCAGAAGCCCACCCUUCCCCUCCCCUCAUCAGCUUAGCCCCAACAUAUGGUGGCUACCAAAGUAGUUAAAUCGGCUCUUGGUAGAAAAGGAAAGAGAUUCCUCCCAGGCUCUUCCCAGGGUCCACGGCCACACUCCAGGAGGGCUCAACUCCAGGGCAAGGCAGCUGGGACAGCAGGCAGCUGAAGGAGGACUAUUACUGCACCUUAGGGAAGAGUGCAGUGGCGAGUGGGGAGGACUCUGCUGGGACCCGGGGGUCAUGUGCAUUCCCAUUUAGUUGAGCUCUGCUUAAUCCGGGCCUAGGCUCACAGUAAUGGGGAACGAGGAGAGGCUCCCAUCAGAGACCAAGAAGAUGACAGACUCUCUGUAAAGGCUGUCAGAGGGGUCUGCAUGACCAACCACACCUGCUCCUGUUCCUUUGGGGCUCUUGUGACCUCCCUGUCUUCUUGUGAGAUCUUAUGUUCCUCCAACCCUGAGAGCUACAAACCAAUCUCCGGAAUAAAAAAA